UACGUAGGGGGCAAGCGUUGUCCGGAAUCAUUGGGCGUAAAGCGCGUGUAGGCGGCCUUGUAAGUCCGUUCUGAAAGUCCGGGGCUCAACCCCGGGAGGCGGAUGGAUACUGCAAGGCUCGAGUCCGGAAGAGGCGAGUGGAAUUCCCGGUGUAGCGGUGAAAUGCGCAGAUAUCGGGAGGAACACCAAUGGCGAAGGCAGCUC
rnacentral:rRNA from 1 species